rnacentral:ncRNA from 2 species
CUUCACCUGGUCCACUAGCC